GAAGCGAUGGGGUGACGCAGGAAGGUAGCUGGGCCAGUCAGUGGUUGUACUGGCGUAAGAGUGUAGGCCGUGACAUAGGCAAAUCCGUGUCACAUUAAGGCUGAGACUUGAUGCAUACCCGUUGUGGGGAAUUCAGUGAUCCUAUGCUGCCGAGAAAAGCCUCUAGUGAGUUCAUACACGGCCCGUACCCCAAACCGACACAGGUGAUCAGGUAGAGAAUACCAAGGCGAUCGAGAGAACUGUGGUUAAGGAACUCGGCAAAAUGCCCCCGUAACUUCGGGAGAAGGGGGACCAUGCCCGGUGAACAUCUUCACGGUGGGAGCUGGGUGUGGUCGCAGAGACCAGAGAGAAGCGACUGUUUACUAAAAACGCAGGUCCGUGCGAAGACGUAAGUCGAUGUAUACGGACUGACGCCUGCCCGGUGCUGGAAGGUUAAGAGGACCGGUUAGCCGUAAGGCGAAGCUGAGAAUUUAAGCCCCAGUAAACGGCGGUGGUAACUAUAACCAUCCUAAGGUAGCGAAAUUCCUUGUCGGGUAAGUUCCGACCUGCACGAAUGGCGUAACGACUUCUCUGCUGUCUCGACCACAGACUCGGCGAAAUUGCACUACGAGUAAAGAUGCUCGUUACGCGCGGCAGGACGAAAAGACCCCGGGACCUUUACUAUAGCUUGGUAUUGGCGUUCGAUUCGGUUUGUGUAGGAUAGGUGGGAGACUGUGAGGCAUGCACGCCAGUGUGUGUGGAGUCGUUGUUGAAAUACCACUCUGAUCGUAUUGGACGUCUAACCUCGGCCCAUGAUCUGGGUUAGGGACAGUGCCUGGUGGGUAGUUUAACUGGGGCGGUUGCCUCCUAAAGAGUAACGGAGGCGCCCAAAGGUUCCCUCAGCCUGGAUGGCAAUCAGGUGUUGAGUGCAAGUGCACAAGGGAGCUUGACUGUGAGACUGACACGUCGAGCAGGGACGAAAGUCGGGACUAGGGAUCCGGCACCGGCAAGUGGAAGCGGUGUCGCUCAACGGAUAAAAGGUACCCCGGGGAUAACAGGCUGAUCUUCCCCAAGAGUCCAUAUCGACGGGAUGGUUUGGCACCUCGAUGUCGGCUCGUCGCAUCCUGGGGCUGGAGUAGGUCCCAAGGGUUGGGCUGUUCGCCCAUUAAAGCGGCACGCGAGCUGGGUUUAGAACGUCGUGAGACAGUUCGGUCUCUAUCCGCCGCGCGCGUAAGAAACUUGAGGAAGGCUGUCCCUAGUACGAGAGGACCGGGACGGACGAACCUCUGGUGUGCCAGUUGUUCCACCAGGAGCAUGGCUGGUUAGCUACGUUCGGAAGGGAUAACCGCUGAAAGCAUCUAAGCGGGAAGCCUGUUCCAAGAUGAGGUUUCUCACCACCUUGCGUGGUUAAGGCCCCCUACAGACCAUGGGGUUGAUAGGCCGGAACUGGAAGCGCAGCAAUGCGUGGAGGUGACCGGUACUAAUAGGCCGAGGGCUUACACC
rnacentral:rRNA from 1 species